UUAUAAUUUAUGUUUUUGUAUUAAAGGAUAACCUCACAAAAUAAGUUUGUUAUAUUUUUUUAUAUUCUCUAGAUAUUUUCUGGUAGACUGAUAUAUUUCUCCAUAAAAACUUGGAAAAAUUUAGUUAUGAAGCUACCUGCCCCUGAAGAUACCUUUUCUGAUAUGAUGGUGGGAGCUCUGAGUCCUAUUUUGGAGUAUGAGAAUGAGAGCUACGUCUUGGGGUUACAGAGAAGUAAACUGCAAGGAGACCAAGACUCUGAGUACUUAAUGCUGCAAGACUGCCAUAGAAGAGAGAGACCUUAUUCUCAAUCAAAUCAUUGAACCUAACGAUGAGCAUUGAAGUUCCUGUUGACUUAAAGAGGAAUAUUCCUAAGGAUUAUGGGGUGAGUUGGUAAAAUGAGAAAAUGUUUUUCUAUAACACUAACUUCAUAUCAUGUGAUUACAGGCCCACUUGAAACUACCUAUGAGGCUGGGCACAGUGGCUAAUGCCUGUAAUUCCAACAAUGUGGAAGGCCAAGGUGGGCGGAUCACCUGAGGUUGCGAGUUUGAGACCAGCCUAGCCAACAUGAAACCUCAUCUCUACUAAAAAAACAAAAAUUAGUUGUGCAUGGUGGCAGGUGUGUGUAGUCCCAGCUACCGGGGAGGCUGAGGCAGGAGAAUCACUUGAGCCCAGGAAGCAGAAGCUGCAGUGAACUGAGAUUGUGCCACUGCACUCUAGCCUAGGCCACAGAGUGAGACAACGUCUCAAAAAAAUAAAUAAAUAAAUAAAAGUUAAAAAGCAAAACAAAACCUACUUAUAUAAUCAGCUCAGACCAGGCUAGCUCCCAAAAUUUUAGGUAGUGAGACCUGGAGAAGCAGAACCUACUAUUUUUUUUAAUCACAUAAUUGUGUUUUUUUUUUAAAGAAACUUACUUAAUGAUAGAAUAACUGUCCUGGGUAUAAAAGUCCUUUUCUUUCCCAGGUAAGAAGCAGUAGAAGAGGAAGUGGUUAACUGCGGAAAUAUCCCCAUCACCUAUUUCAGAGGAAUAGAAAUUUUAAGCCUUCUUGUUUUUGUAACAUGAUUGUAGAGCUGAUGAUCUCAGUAAAGCUUUCUUAAUUUUCUUGAAGCCAUGUAAACAUGCUUUUCCUAUUCAACUUUGUCUUCUUUGUCUAAAGAACAGACACAAGUCAAGAAUAGUAGAAAGUGGAAAUUAGGUGAGAG
rnacentral:lncRNA from 1 species